CAAGACCUUGCGCUUUGGAGCGGCCGAUGUCUGAUUAGCUAGUUGGUGAGGUAAAGGCUUACCAAGGCUUCGAUCAGUAGCUGGACUGAGAGGACGACCGGCCACACUGGGACUGAGACACGGCCCAGACUCCUACGGGAGGCAGCAGUGGGGAAUUUUGGACAGUGGGCGAAAGCCUGAUCCAGCAAUGCCGCGUGAGUGAAGGAGGCCUUCGGGUUGUAAAGCUCUUUCAGCCGGAACGAAAAGGUUACGGCUAAUACCCGUGACAAAUGACGGUACCGGAAGAAGAAGCACCGGCUAACUACGUGCCAGCAGCCGCGGUAAUACGUAGGGUGCAAGCGUUAAUCGGAAUUACUGGGCGUAAAGCGUGCGCAGGCGGUUUUGUAAGUCAGAUGUGAAAUCCCCGGGCUUAACCUGGGAACU
rnacentral:rRNA from 1 species